rnacentral:rRNA from 1 species
ACGGGUGAGUAAUGUCUGGGAAACUGCCUGAUGGAGGGGGAUAACUACUGGAAACGGUAGCUAAUACCGCAUAACGUCGCAAGACCAAAGAGGGGGACCUUCGGGCCUCUUGCCAUCGGAUGUGCCCAGAUGGGAUUAGCUAGUAGGUGGGGUAACGGCUCACCUAGGCGACGAUCCCUAGCUGGUCUGAGAGGAUGACCAGCCACACUGGAACUGAGACACGGUCCAGACUCCUACGGGAGGCAGCAUG